CCUACGGGUGGCAGCAGUGAGGAAUAUUGGUCAAUGGUCGGGAGACUGAACCAGCCAAGCCGCGUGAGGGAGGAAGGUACAGAGUAUCGUAAACCUCUUUUGUCAGGGAACAAAGACUGGGACGCGUCCCCGGAUGAGUGUACCUGAAGAAAAAGCAUCGGCUAACUCCGUGCCAGCAGCCGCGGUAAUACGGAGGAUGCGAGCGUUAUCCGGAUUUAUUGGGUGUAAAGGGAGCGUAGACGGUGAUGUAAGUCUGGAGUGAAAGGCGGGGGCCCAACCCCCGGACUGCUCUGGAAACUAUGUGACUGGAGUGCAGGAGAGGUGAGCGGAAUUCCUAGUGUAGCGGUGAAAUGCGUAGAUAUUAGGAGGAACACCAGUGGCGAAGGCGGCUCACUGGACUGUAACUGACGUUGAGGCUCGAAAGCGUGGGGAGCAAACAGGAUUAGAUACCCUGGUAGUC
rnacentral:rRNA from 1 species